rnacentral:rRNA from 1 species
UUUUAAUGGGAUUACGUGUACAUUUACUUUUUGUGUGUGCACUUCCAUCCCGGGGUAUUUUCAUCACAUAUAUGGGCAACUAUAUAUAGAAAAUAUACCAUGAGCAUACUGGACAUGACCCGAAAGAUGGUGAACUAUGCCUGAUCAGGUUGAAGUCAGGGGAAACCCUGAUGGAGGACCGAAGCAAUUCUGACGUGCAAAUCGAUUGUCAGA